rnacentral:lncRNA from 1 species
ACGAGGGGCAGAGGGCGGGGAGAGAGAAUGGGCGGGGAUUUGUAUGGCUGGGGGGUCUGGGGAUAAGGUUGGGGGCGGACGAUUGGUGGGCAGGGAGGAGUAGUAUAUCCACACCGCCGCCGCCGCCCGGACGAAAGAUCCCGCCUUUGAACGCCCACCACGAACGGGGGAGGCACAUCGUGGCUCGGCCAUAAGCUGCGAGUACUACGAAGAGAGCAGUAC